AUUGAACGCUGGCGGCAGGCUUAACACAUGCAAGUCGAGCGGGGGAAGGUAGCUUGCUACCGGACCUAGCGGCGGACGGGUGAGUAAUGCUUAGGAAUCUGCCUAUUAGUGGGGGACAACAUCUCGAAAGGGAUGCUAAUACCGCAUACGUCCUACGGGAGAAAGCAGGGGAUCUUCGGACCUUGCGCUAAUAGAUGAGCCUAAGUCGAAUUAGCUAGUUGGGGGGGUAAAGGCCUACCAAGGCGACGAUCUGUAGCGGGGCUGAGAGGAUGAUCCGCCACACUGGGACUGAGACACGGCGCAGACUCCUACGGGAGGCAGCAGUGGGGAAUAUUGGACAAUGGGGGGAACCCUGAUCCAGCCAUGCCGCGUGUGUGAAGAAGGCCUUAUGGUUGUAAAGCACUUUAAGCGAGGAGGAGGCUACUUUAGUUAAUACCUGGAGAUAGUGGACGUUACUCGCAGAAUAAGCACCGGCUAACUACGUGCCAGCCGCCGCAGUAA
rnacentral:rRNA from 1 species